UACAGAGGGAGCAAGCGUUAUCCGGAAUGAUUGGGCGUAAAGCGUCUGUAGGUGGUUCAAAAAGUCUACUGUCAAAUACGUUGGCUCAACCAACGGCAGGCAGUGGAGUACUGUUGGACUAGAGUGCGGUAGAGGUAGAGGGAAUCCCUAGCGUAACAGUGAAAUGUGUAGAUUUUAGGGAGAACACCAGUGGCGAAGGCGCUCUACUGGGCCGAGACUGACACUGAGAGACGAAAGCUAAGGGAGCGACACGG
rnacentral:rRNA from 1 species